rnacentral:tRNA from 1 species
GGCUUUAUAGUCAAUAAUGACAUUAGACUGCAAUUCUAAAGGAGUAAGAUUUUACUAAGGCUU